rnacentral:rRNA from 1 species
CUGGCUCAGGACGAACGCUGGCGGCGUGCUUAACACAUGCAAGUCGAACGAGAGGACAAGAGAAGCUUGCUUCUUU